AGCUAUACCUUGCUGCGUGCCACCAGAAUGUGCUAUGAUGAAUUCUCUCCAAGAUCAGGGACCACCUUCAAGCAGUCCUGAAAAAUGACACCCAGAACCAGUAAAAAAUGGAGGGGAGAAAAGAUCUCCUGGUGUACCAGCCCUGGAAGGACCAACCUGUGAUCUCACUCCUGGAUGACUCUGCAAAGAAAAAUUCCAUAGGCACAGCUUGGUUUAGGUGAACUAACUUGGCAAGAACAAAUUCUCUUCAAGUUCUCACCUUUCUACGCCAAUUUUAAGAUACACAUCUCCCUCUUCCCCAAAUACCACUUGAAAAAAUUUCUAAUACCUGGAUUUAUCAUACAAUCAGAGUCAAGGAGCCAGCUUUAAUCUAAGAGAUCCAAGAGUUGGACAGAGAGGACUGUCAAAAGCAUGGAGAACACCCCAUAGAAGAUCAUUCUUGAAGGAAGCCACAUGUGUCCGGCAUCUGUUUGCCAUCUCUGUGGUGACUGGCUUUAAUGAGUUCUAAUUUCUGAUGGGAACAAACAGAACUGUGAAUGCACCCAGGGAAUCCACCUGGCGAGUGCUUUUGUCAUUUCGUCAUUUCUUCAUUUCUGUUUGCCUACUUGUUGUGCUUCUUAAUUUGUCAAACCCUCUAAAGAUGUGUGGUGAAAGAACAUAAUUACAAUUUUUUUAAUUACAAAAAAAAGCAUUCAUACAAUACUGGCAGAAUCAUGCGAAUCCUUCUGCUCAUUUCUAUUUGAGCUAAAGUUUGAUGUUUACUCACACAAAAAGCUUUCUAAUUAUUGUACUAGAACUAUGUUUGCUACCCUCAUGGAUUGGGAUAAUCCUAUAGAGUGAUGGUACUUCUUCAUUCGCUUGCUCUCCGUCCCAAAGCCUGCAGAACUGAAACAAAUGGAAUUAGCCAGCACCAAAGUUAGAAAAAGCUCACCUUCUAUUUCACAACCCACCAAAAAGCAUAAUUAAACAGAAUACGCAGUCAAGUCCGAACAUUUAAGAUCACCACUUUCCCGAGAAGAUGAAAGAAACUUUCAAAAAAGUCAUUUUCCCUCUGGAACUUGGCUCUACAUGACAGAUGACCUGGGAUCAUAUGAAAAAGCAGUAUUCCCGAUUAUACUGUUUAAGCUCGGAAACAUUCCAAGGAAGGAGCGAAUCUGUUCUGAACUCCUGACCAGUGCUUUCCAGUGUCUGUCUGCAGUUCCUUAGGCAGAAUUUAGGUUGGUGCCACAGUUCCUGCUGAAAGCUCAGAGUGUUGAGCAAUCUGCAGCAGAGACCUCAAGAUAAUGGGGUAGGUGCUAUUUUAGGGUUAUGAAUAGAGCCUUGAUGAGGGAAAAGUCACAAAAGGCUUCAAGAGAGAUGGGUGUUGAAAGAUCCAACCAAAAUGAAUGUGUGAAGUUGCCAGAUGUGGAGGGCUCCAUGAUGAGCUGCAGGGAAGGCUCCCCCGAAGGAUACACACACACCCUUCUAGAAACCUCUGUGUUGGCCAGACAAAAUAUUCUGGAGGCCAGAUUUAGUGUGUGGGCCUUCCCAUUUAUGUCCCCUACUUUAAAGAUGUUUUAGGCAGUGGGGACAAAAGGCACAGAAACAGGAAAUUGGGGGAGGGAGUUGCGAAGUCUGGGCAGCUGGCUGUACUGUUUCAGGAGGGGCAGGAGGUAAGAUGACUAGGGGUUGGUUAGGAGGGAGGAAGGCUUGGAAAACUGCUCAACUAACACUAGACUUUAUCCCAAGCACCCUGGUGAGCCAGAGGCUCACUCUAAGCAGAAGGAUGACGCGAAGAUUCACUUCUAGUAAGAGAAUUGCCAGCAGGCCUGUAGAGGAGACAGGCAGAUGCGGGAAGGCUAGUUGGUGACGUGAGAGACCAAGACAGAGGCCAAGAUGGUGGCAAUGAAGGUGGUGAGGAUGGGUUACCACUGGGAGAUAUCUCUGAGGCGGAAGAGAAAAGGCUCAGCUGUGGGAGCAAGAGAGGGGAGAGGUUAAGAAUGAUCCCAAGGCUCUGGCUUUAGUAAGAGUUUAUGUAAAAAUACAUUGGUCAGAAUUGAGAAUCAGGAAAGGAGCAGUUGGGAGAGCGAUCAUUUCUGCUUAACAUAUACGAAAUUUUAAAUACCUGUGGUUUUAACCAGCUGGCAAUAUUUUUUUUUCCCUUUCUCUUUGUGUUCUUUUGAAUUUUGGAACAUUCCAAACUUCUGGA